rnacentral:rRNA from 1 species
CCCUUAGAUGUUCUGGGCCGCACGCGCGCUACACUGAUGCAUUCAACGAGUCUAAAACCUGGUCUGAUAGGGCUGGGUAAUCUUUUGAAUGUGCAUCGUGAUUGGGAUAGAUGAUUGCAAUUCUUCAUCUUCAACGAGGAAUGCCUAGUAAACGCAAGUCAUCAGCUUGCAUUGAUUACGUCCCUGCCCUUUGUACACACCGCCCGUCGCUCCUACCGAUUUCGAGUGGUCCGGUGAACCUUUCGGACAGAGAGAGUCUCGUACAAUCUCUGAAAGUCAAGUAAACCACAUCACUUAGAGGAAGGAGAAGUCGUAACA